rnacentral:misc_RNA from 1 species
CGUAGGUGAACCUGCGGAAGGAUCAUUAUCGUUUUGCUUGCCGAAACACGACCUGUGCACGUGUGAUCGAAUGCUGCUGGGGCGGCCAUGUGCCGUCCCCGCCCCCCCGGCCGCGGCGGCUGUGCCCUUGGGUGUUGCUGCCGUGAGCCGAAAACGGCAUGGGGUCAUGCCAAGGUACACUCAGUGCGGAGGUCGGGACGCUGCGUGUUUGAUCGUGCGGCCCUCGACCGAAGCUAAGGAAAAYAAUAAGACUCUCGGCAACGGAUAUCUCGGCUCUCGCAUCGAUGAAGAACGUAGCGAAAUGCGAUACGUGGUGUGAAUUGCAGAAUCCCGCGAACCAUCGAGUCUUUGAACGCAAGUUGCGCCCGAGGGACCUACCCGAGGGCACGCCUGCCUCAUGGGCGUUAGAAGCCCAUCAACGCUCGGGCGUCAGGCUCGAUGCGGAUCUUGGCCCUCCGAGCUGCACGGCUCGGCGGGCCGAAGUGCGCCUCGGUCGUAUGUGGCUGGGAGCGGCGAGUGGUGAGUUCCUUCGCGCGCCGCCCCUGAGCCUCCGUCGACGUCAGGCUAUUCAUUUGACCCCAUGACGAGGUGAUUGCCGAUGCGGUGUUGCCGCUGUGCGGCCUCCUCGGACCGAUACCCCAGGUCAGGCGGGGCUACCCGCUGAGUUUAAGCAUA